GAGUCGAGAAAGGGAGGGGGCGAAGAGGAGGAUUCACGUCUUUGUUAGAACCCUAACAAGGAAGAUGAUCGCUCUUGAGGUUGAGAGCAGAGACACCGUCGACGAGGUCAGAUCUAAGAUCCAGAGAGGAGAAUUCAUGUAUACGUUGCGAUGGUCUUCUUGAACGGAACUUGGAAUGCUAAUUAUGUCUUCAAGUCCAUUCAAGAAUUCAUCUUGAAGCAAUUAUAUAUUGUCGUUGUUGCAGCCAUUCAAGGAUAAAUUGGCCAUGAGAGGUUUCUUCCUCAGACAUUUCGAUAGAGUUUGAUUUGCUUUGAAAGAAGUGGCAAGGACAUUUUCAUCGGAUGUUCCUCGAAGAACUAAACGUCUGAGAUUUAGGAGAGGGGUAGCACAUAAUGGAAGUAGCAUGUAAUUUGACAUAGGAGUGCCUAA